AGAGUUUGAUCCUGGCUCAGGACGAACGCUGGCGGCGUGCUUAACACAUGCAAGUCGAGCGAGGCCCUCCUUCGGGGGGUGCCCUAGCGGCGAACGGGUGAGUAACACGUGGGCAACCUGCCCUCAGCUCUGGGAUAACUCCAAGAAAUUGGUGCUAAUACCGGAUGUGACCGCUGACCGCAUGGUCUGGUGGUGGAAAGAUUCAUCGGCUGAGGAUGGGCCCGCGGCCUAUCAGCUUGUUGGUGGGGUGAUGGCCUACCAAGGCGACGACGGGUAGCCGGCCUGAGAGGGUGACCGGCCACACUGGGAUUGAGACACGGCCCAGACUCCUACGGGAGGCAGCAGUGGGGAAUAUUGCGCAAUGGGCGAAAGCCUGACGCAGCGACGCCGCGUGAGGGAUGACGGCCUUCGGGUUGUAAACCUCUUUCAGUAGGGACGAAGCGCAAGUGACGGUACCUACAGAAGAAGCACCGGCCAACUACGUGCCAGCAGCCGCGGUAAUACGUAGGGUGCAAGCGUUGUCCGGAAUUAUUGGGCGUAAAGAGCUCGUAGGCGGUCUGUCGCGUCGGCUGUGAAAACCCGAGGCUCAACCUCGGGCCUGCAGUCGAUACGGGCAAACUAGAGUACUGCAGGGGAGACUGGAAUUCCUGGUGUAGCGGUGAAAUGCGCAGAUAUCAGGAGGAACACCGGUGGCGAAGGCGGGUCUCUGGGCAGUAACUGACGCUGAGGAGCGAAAGCGUGGGGAGCGAACAGGAUUAGAUACCCUAGUAGUCC
rnacentral:rRNA from 1 species